rnacentral:rRNA from 1 species
AUACGUAGGGGGCGAGCGUUGUCCGGAAUGAUUGGGCGUAAAGGGCGCGUAGGCGGCCCGGUAAGUCUGGAGUGAAAGUCCUGCUUUUAAGGUGGGAAUUGCUUUGGAUACUGUCGGGCUUGAGUGCAGGAGAGGUAAGUGGAAUUCCCAGUGUAGCGGUGAAAUGCGUAGAGAUUGGGAGGAACACCAGUGGCGAAGGCGACUUACUGGACUGUAACUGACGCUGAGGCGCGAAAGUGUGGGGAGCAAACAGGAUUAGAUACCCUGGUAGUCCACACUGUAAACGAUGAAUGCUAGGUGUAGUGGGUAUCGACCCCUUCUGUGCCGCAGUUAACACAAUAAGCAUUCCGCCUGGGGAGUACGGCCGCAAGGUUGAAACUCAAAUGAAUUGGCGGGG